rnacentral:rRNA from 1 species
GACGAACGCUGGCGGUGUGCUUAACACAUGCAAGUCGAACGGCAAGGCCCUGCUUUUGUGGGGUUCUCGAGUGGCGAACGGGUGAGUAACACGUGAGCAACCUGCUCUUGAUUUUGGUAUAACUUCAGGAAACUGGGCCUACUACCAUAUAGCAGCCCCUGUUGCAUGGUGGGCGUUGGAAAUUCUCUGCGGUUGCGGAUGGAUGCGCGGCUUAUCAGCUUGUUGGUGGGGUAGUGGAUUACCAAGGCUUUGACGGGUAGCCGGCCUGAGAGGGUGACCGGCGACAUGAGGACUGAGAGACGGCCCAGAGGCCUACGGGAGGCAGCAGUGGGGAAUAUUGCACAAUGGGCGGAAGCCUGUUGCGACAGCGCCGCGGGCGGAAUGACGGCCUUCGGGGUGUAAACCGCUUUCGCCUGUUACGAAGCGGGUGUGACGGUAAUGAGUGAAGAAGCACCGGCUAACUUCGUG